AUACGGAGGAUGCAAGCGUUAUCCGGAUUUAUUGGGUUUAAAGGGUGCGUAGGCGGAUGAUUAAGCGUGAGGUGAAAUGCCACUGCUCAACAGUGGAACUGCCUCGCGAACUGGUUGUCUUGAAUGCUCCUGCCGUGGGAGGAAUGUGUGGUGUAGCGGUGAAAUGCAUAGAGAUCACACAGAACACCGAUUGCGAAGGCAUCUCACGAAGGGGUGAUUGACGCUGAGGCACGAAAGCGUGGGGAUCAAACAGGAUUAGAUACCCUGGUAGUCCACGCAGUAAACGAUGAUAACUAACCGCUGGGUCGUAGUGAUUCAGUGGCCAAGCGAAAGCGAUAAGUUAUCCACCUGGGGAGUACGAACGCAAGGUUGAAACUCAAAUGAAUUGACGGGG
rnacentral:rRNA from 1 species